AAUAACCAAGACCGGUUAAGUCAAGACUUUUCAAGACCUCAUGAUGCAAUGCAACUCUGGGUGAAGGACGGUUGAUCGGCUCCCUAGACAAACCAGUGGAUGACCCGGGAUGCUGGAGACGGCCAUGACAUCUUGCGGAAAGCUUCACCCAGGCUCAAAGGGAAGGACGGAUAUUUUCAAGACCCAAGGCUUACCUGCACAACCACAAGUCAUUAUGGGCUCUGGCUUGGUUGGACAAUGCGGCGAUUCUGGACAGGCGGUGCCAGCAGAUGUAGAAGAACGGUAGGAUUGGAUGGGCACCGACAGGGAUUCAGAGGGACCCGUUGAAAGACCAUGUUUUGAUCAUCCGGUCUUCAAACACUCUGAAGUGCGAGGACAUACUCGGAGGCGAUCAAAUCUUGUGGGGAACGUGUGCAAAACUCUGCAAAGUACUCAAAC
rnacentral:lncRNA from 1 species